GACGAACGCUGGCGGCAUGCUUUACACAUGCAAGUCGAACGGCAGCGCGGGCUUCGGCCUGGCGGCGAGUGGCGAACGGGUGAGUAAUGCAUCGGAACGUGCCCAGUAGUGGGGGAUAGCCCGGCGAAAGCCGGAUUAAUACCGCAUACGACCUGAGGGUGAAAGCGGGGGACCGAAAGGCCUCGCGCUAUUGGAGCGGCCGAUGUCGGAUUAGCUAGUUGGUGGGGUAAAGGCUUACCAAGGCGACGAUCCGUAGCUGGUCUGAGAGGACGACCAGCCACACUGGGACUGAGACACGGCCCAGACUCCUACGGGAGGCAGCAGUGGGGAAUUUUGGACAAUGGGGGCAACCCUGAUCCAGCCAUGCCGCGUGCGGGAAGAAGGCCUUCGGGUUGUAAACCGCUUUUGUUCGGGAAGAAAUCCUCUGGGCUAAUACCCCGGGGGGAUGACGGUACCGGAAGAAUAAGCACCGGCUAACUACGUG
rnacentral:rRNA from 1 species